UAAUUACUUUUAACUUUUUGUUGAUUUGAAUUCAGUGUAAAAAGAUAUGCUAAUCCAUCUGAGGAUCCAGGAAGCGUCAUUGCUUUGAUGAACAGAACCAGUGCCAAUACAAACAUCAGUGACAUGGUGAUGCAGAAAACCUGCAUGAAAA